AGCGAACGCUGGCGGCAGGCCUAACACAUGCAAGUCGAACGAACCCUUCGGGGUUAGUGGCGGACGGGUGAGUGACACGUGGGAACGUGCCCUUUGGUUCGGAACAACUCAGGGAAACUUGAGCUAAUACCGAAUGUGCCCUUCGGGGGAAAGAUUUAUCGCCAUUGGAGCGGCCCGCGUCUGAUUAGCUUGUUGGUGAGGUAAAGGCUCACCAAGGCUACGAUCAGUAGCUGGUCUGAGAGGAUGAUCAGCCACAUUGGGACUGAGACACGGCCCAAACUCCUACGGGAGGCAGCAGUGGGGAAUCUUGCGCAAUGGGCGAAAGCCUGACGCAGCCAUGCCGCGUGAAUGAUGAAGGUCUUAGGAUUGUAAAAUUCUUUCACCGGGGACGAUAAUGACGGUACCCGGAGAAGAAGCCCCGGCUAACUUCGUGCCAGCCGCCGCCGUAACAC
rnacentral:rRNA from 1 species